AGAAUGAACGCUAGCGAUAUGCUUAACACAUGCAAGUUGAACGUUGUUUUCGAGUCAAAAUGAAAACAAAGUGGCGAACGGGUGCGUAACACGUGGGAAUCUGCCAAACAGUUUGGGCCAAAUCCUGAAUGAAUGAAAGCUAAAAAGCGCUGUUUGAUGAGCCCACGUAGUAUUAGGUAGUUGGUUAGGUAAAAGCUGACCAAGCCUACGAUGCUUAGCUGGUCUUUUCGGAUGAUCAGCCACACUGGGACUGAGACACGGCCCAGACUCCUACGGGAGGCAGCAGUGGGGAAUCUUCCACAAUGGGCGAAAGCCUGAUGGAGCAACACCGCGUGCAGGAUGACGGCCUUCGGGUGUAAACUGCUUUUAUAUGGGAAGAUUAUGACGGUACCAUAUGAAUAAGGACCGGCUAACUACGUGCCAGCAGCCGC
rnacentral:rRNA from 1 species